rnacentral:rRNA from 1 species
UGCCAGCAGCCGCGGUAAUACGAAGGGACCUAGCGUAGUUCGGAAUUACUGGGCUUAAAAAGUUCGUAGGUGGUUGAAAAAGUUAGUGGUGAAAUCCCAGAGCUUAACUCUGGAACUGCCAUUAAAACUUUUCAGCUAGAGUAUGAUAGAGGGAAGCACAAUCUCUAGUGUAGAGGUGAAAUUCGUAGAUAUCAGAAAGAAUACCAAUUGCGAAGGCAGCUUUCUGGAUCAUUACUGACACUGAGGAACGAAAGCAUGGGUAGCGAACAGGAUUAGAUA